rnacentral:tRNA from 1 species
GUUGUGGCGCAGUGGUAGCGCAUCUGCUUCGCAUGCAGGUGGUCGUCGGUUCAAUCCCGACCAAGUCCA